UCAUAGCUUAGUUGAUAGAGCAUGAGACUCUUAAUGUCAGGGCUGUGGGUUCGAGUCCCGCUUUGGGCGAAA